GACAGAGGCCUCAAGCGUUAGGCGGAAUCACUGGGCUUAAAGCGCGUGUAGGCAGCUUCGCAAGUCGGAUGUGAAAGCCCUGGGCUCAACCUAGGAAGUGCACUCGAAACUGCGAAGCUUGAGUCUCGGAGAGGGUCGCGGAAUUCUCGGUGUAGAGGUGAAAUUCGUAGAUAUCGAGAGGAACACCGGUGGCGAAGGCGGCGCCUGGACCGGCAUUGACGCUGAGGCGCGAAAGCCAGGGGAGCAAACGGGG
rnacentral:rRNA from 1 species